CACGUUGGGAGGUGGUUUCCUGCCACUGUGAGUGGGUUCUGUGUCUCGCCCGGCUGAACCAUGUAUUCGUUAAUUUAUUCAUUAAUUAUUCAGGUUUAAUGUGCUCCUCGGGUUUUGUUUCUGGUGGUGAGGCGGCACAUGUGCUAUCAGUGUGUUUUGGGUGGUCGCGGGAAGAGAAUCCAUUUAAUUGUGUCAAUAUUUAGACAAUGUGCACUCAUGCUUUUUUUUUUUUUUAACAUCAUGGCAUGUGGCUUAGAAAAGAGAAAUCCAUAAAGGUGCUUUGGUUAUUUGAGUCAAGUGUGGACAGAUGAAAAGAAAAAAAGCCAUGCCUGUUAAUUAUUUUUUUUUCCUAGAAGCACCACUAAAAGACUAUUAAAAUAUAAUAAAUCUGCAGCGCAUAGUAAAGGCAGCUAUGUACAUACAGAUGAAGUUUUACAGAUGAACUUCUGACAUAGAGAUGAAGUUUUAAGCACCCACUUAAUAAAAACUGUUUGGGACUAAGUGUAGAUGCAUGUCAGGAAAUUCUCCCUCUUAUAUGGGUGAAAACUGCUUUGCCCCACUGAAAAAUGUGCUUUUCACCAUCUGCGUGUCCCUGCUCUGGACACUCUCUGAGAGCUUUGGGUGCCCCGGCUCUGGAGGUGAGGCCAGCCCAGAGCGGGACAGUCCCCUGCUCGCUGUGCAUUAUCUCUGGUCACUCCCUGUGAAACAGCGCGGAGGAAUGGGCCCUAAUUAGAUUUCCUUCCAAAGCAGGCUCAUCGGAGCUGAAACCAGUGCAGAUGUUCUCCAGCACUGGAGAGCUUUGUCAUGCUGAUGUGGGAGGAGGAGGGAGUGUUCCAGCAGGGUGGGGAAGGACCCUUGGUUAGAGAGCUGAUUGUCACUGCGGAAUGGCCAGAAAGAGGUGAUGAUACCAUAGCUCUGACCAGAAACCCUCUCUCACCCCUGAAAUAUUAAUCCUGAAGGACAAUUGGCCUAAGCCAUAUGGCUGCAGUCAACUUCUCUGCUCUUUCUUAUCCUUUUGGCUUUCUGUGACAUCACUUUGUAAAUCUUUCUGUGACACCAACUUGUGUAACCCCUUGCACACGGCCAGGGCUUCCACGUGUCUGUCGCUUCGGGAUGUGUCAGCUUCCUCCCGUGGGACCCGUGCCUAUUUUUAGGGUGGCUGUGAUCAAACCAGCCUCUAGAAGAUGGAGCCCAGUCAGUGGACAGCCUGAGUUUCACCUCUGAGGGGCCCGGCGCGAUUUCUCAGCUGCGUUUCAGGUUCUUUGGUUCGUCUGUAGCAUGGCUGAUUUCCAUCCCUGCAGCUCUUUGAAAUGAAAUGUGAGAUGAUAAAGGAUAAAGCUUGUAGCUGGUGCUUCCCAUGGACGUUUUUAUGUGCAAAGAAAGCCUCAGAUUGAUUUUUAAA